UACGUAGGGGGCGAGCGUUGUCCGGAUUCAUUGGGCGUAAAGCGCUCGCAGGCGGCCCGUCGCGUCCGGCGUGAAGGCCCCCGGCUCAACCGGGGGUGGUCGUCGGAUACGGGCGGGCUGGAGGUAGGUAGGGGGACGCGGAAUUCCCGGUGUAGUGGUGAAAUGCGUAGAUAUCAGGAGGAACACCGGUGGCGAAGGCGGUCACCUGGCUCGUUACUGACGCUCAGGCACGAAAGUGUGGGUAGCAAACAGG
rnacentral:rRNA from 1 species